rnacentral:rRNA from 1 species
GGUUUUUAGAAUUUAUUAAAAAUCUAUCCUGCUCAAUGCUUAAGUAAAUAGCCGCGGUAUCCUGACCGUGCAAAGGUAGCAUAAUAAUUAGUCUUUUAAUUGAAGACUAGAAUGAAAGGAUUAACUUAAUAAUUUAGUCUCAUAAUAAUAUUUUGAAUUUAAUAUUUUAGUAAAAAAGCUAAAGUAAAAUUCAGGGACAAGAAGACCCUAUCGAGCUUUAUAAAGAAACUUUCUCCUCUUAAAGAAUUCAAUUCUUUAUUUUACUGGGGCAGUAGAAAAAAAGAUUCUUUCUCCAUAUUGUGAAUUAUAAUUCUAGAAAAACCAAAAACUUUUUAAAAAAUAAUAAGUUACCGUAGGGAUAACAGCGUAAUUUUUCUUCAGAGAACAUAUUUACAGAAAAGUUUGCGACCUCGAUGUUGGAUUAAGAAUUCUCCUUUGCGCAAAAGCAAAAACAGAAAGUCUGUUCGACUUUUAAUUUCUUCCA